AUUGAACGCUGGCGGCAUGCUUUACACAUGCAAGUCGAACGGCAGCGCGGGCUUCGGCCUGGCGGCGAGUGGCGAACGGGUGAGUAAUACAUCGGAACGUGCCCAGUAGUGGGGGAUAGCUCGGCGAAAGCCGGAUUAAUACCGCAUACGACCUGAGGGUGAAAGCGGGGGAUCUUCGGACCUCGCGCUAUUGGAGCGGCCGAUGGGAGAUUAGCUAGCUGGUGGGGUAAAGGCCUACCAAGGCGACGAUCGGUACCUGGUCUGAGAGGACGACCAGCCAGACUGGGAGUGAGACACGGCCCAGACUCCGACGGGAGGCAGCAGUGGGGAAUGUUGGACAAUGGGCGAAAGCCUGAUCCAGCAAUGCCGCGUGUGUGAUGAAGGCCUUCGGGUUGUAAAGCACUUUUGGCGGGAAGGAAAAGGAAUGUGCCAAUACCACGGUUCGAUGACGGUACCCGCAGAAUAAGCACCGGCUAACUACGUG
rnacentral:rRNA from 1 species